rnacentral:rRNA from 1 species
UACAGAGGGUGCAAGCGUUGUUCGGAAUUAUUGGGCGUAAAGCGCGUGUAGGCGGCUUAGCAAGUCGGGCGUGAAAGCCCUCGGCUCAACCGAGGAAGUGCACCCGAAACUGCUGAGCUUGAGUGCCGGAGAGGAUGGCGGAAUUCCCCAAGUAGAGGUGAAAUUCGUAGAUAUGGGGAGGAACACCAGUGGCGAAGGCGGCUUUCUGGACGGUAACUGACGCUGAGACGCGAAAGCGUGGG